GAUGAACGCUGGCGGCGUGCUUAACACAUGCAAGUCGAACGGGAAACCUUUUAUUGAAGCUUCGGCAGAUUUAGCUGGUUUCUAGUGGCGGACGGGUGAGUAGCGCGUGGGUAACCUGCCUUAUACAGGGGGAUAACAACCAGAAAUGGUUGCUAAUACCGCAUAAGCGCACAGGACCGCAUGGUCCGGUGUGAAAAACUCCGGUGGUAUGAGAUGGACCCGCGUCUGAUUAGCUAGUUGGUGGGGUAACGGCCUACCAAGGCGACGAUCAGUAGCCGACCUGAGAGGGUGACCGGCCACAUUGGGACUGAGACACGACCCAAAUCCUACGGGAGGCAGCAGUGGGGAAUAUUGCACAAUGGGGGAAACCCUGAUGCAGCGACG
rnacentral:rRNA from 1 species